rnacentral:rRNA from 1 species
CCUACGGGUGGCAGCAGUGAGGAAUAUUGGUCAAUGGACGCAAGUCUGAACCAGCCAUGCCGCGUGCAGGAAGACGGCCCUAUGAGUUGUAAACUGCUUUUGUACGAGGGUAAAUCCCGAUACGUGUAUCGGGUUGAAAGUAUCGUACGAAUAAGCAUCGGCUAACUCCGUGCCAGCAGCCGCGGUAAUACGGAGGAUUCAAGCGUUAUCCGGAUUUAUUGGGUUUAAAGGGUGCGGAGGCGGGUCGAUAAGUUAGCGGUGAAAUCCCGGGGCUCAACUCCGGCCCUGCCGGUGAUACUGUGGUGCUAGAGUGUAGGAGCGGUAGGCGGAAUGUGUGGUGUAGCGGUGAAAUGCAUAGAGAUCACACAGAACACCGAUUGCGAAGGCAGCUUACC